UCCAUAUUGAUGAUACAGUCGC
rnacentral:miRNA from 10 species